CAGCCGCCACGGUAAUUCGAAGGGUGCAAGCGUUGCUCGGAAUGACUGGGCGUAAAGGGCGCGUAGGCGGUUGUCACAGUCGGGUGUGAAAUUCCUGGGCUUAACCUGGGGACUGCAUUCGAGACGUGGUGGCUUGAGUGGGGAAGAGGGUCGUGGAAUUCCCAGUGUAGAGGUGAAAUUCGUAGAUAUUGGGAAGAACACCGGUGGCGAAGGCGGCCCCCUGGACAAAGACUGACGCUCAGGUGCGAAAGCGUGGGGAGCAAACAGGAUUAGAUACCCCCGUAGUCCCUGUCUCUUAUAC
rnacentral:rRNA from 1 species